rnacentral:rRNA from 1 species
AGAGUUUCAUCCUGGCUCAGAUUGAACGCUGGCGGCAGGCCUAACACAUGCAAGUCGAACGGUAACAGGAAGCAGCUUGCUGCUUCGCUGACGAGUGGCGGACGGGUGAGUAAUGUCUGGGAAACUGCCUGAUGGAGGGGGAUAACUACUGGAAACGGUAGCUAAUACCGCAUAACGUCGCAAGACCAAAGAGGGGGACCUUCGGGCCUCUUGCCAUCGGAUGUGCCCAGAUGGGAUUAGCUUGUUGGUGGGGUAACGGCUCACCAAGGCGACGAUCCCUAGCUGGUCUGAGAGGAUGACCAGCCACACUGGAACUGAGACACGGUCCAGACUCCUACGGGAGGCAGCAGUGGGGAAUAUUGCACAAUGGGCGCAAGCCUGAUGCAGCCAUGCCGCGUGUAUGAAGAAGGCCUUCGGGUUGUAAAGUACUUUCAGCGGGGAGGAAGGGAGUAAAGUUAAUACCUUUGCUCAUUGACGUUACCCGCAGAAGAAGCACCGGCUAACUCCGUGCCAGCAGCCGCGGUAAUACGGAGGGUGCAAGCGUUAAUCGGAAUUACUGGGCGUAAAGCGCACGCAGGCGGUUUGUUAAGUCAGAUGUGAAAUCCCCGGGCUCAACCUGGGAACUGCAUCUGAUACUGGCAAGCUUGAGUCUCGUAGAGGGGGGUAGAAUUCCAGGUGUAGCGGUGAAAUGCGUAGAGAUCUGGAGGAAUACCGGUGGCGAAGGCGGCCCCCUGGACGAAGACUGACGCUCAGGUGCGAAAGCGUGGGGAGCAAAAAGGAUUAGAUACCCUGGUAGUCCACGCCGUAAA